rnacentral:rRNA from 1 species
AUUGAACGCUGGCGGCAGGCCUAACACAUGCAAGUCGAGCGGAUGAAGGGAGCUUGCUCCUGGAUUCAGCGGCGGACGGGUGUGUAAUGCCUAGGAAUCUGCCUGGUAGUGGGGGAUAACGUCCGGAAACGGGCGCUAAUACCGCAUACGUCCUGAGGGAGAAAGUGGGGGAUCUUCGGACCUCACGCUAUCAGAUGAGCCUAGGUCGGAUUAGCUAGUUGGUGGGGUAAAGGCCUACCAAGGCGACGAUCCGUAACUGGUCUGAGAGGAUGAUCAGUCACCUGGGAACUGAGACACGGUCCAUGCUACUAAGGGAGGGAGCAGAGGGGAAUAUUGGGCAAUGGGCGAAAGCCUGAUCCAGCCAUGGCGCGUGUGUGAAGAAGGUCUUCGGAUUGUAAAGCACUUUAAGUUGGGAGGAAGGGCAGUAAGUUAAUACCUUGCUGUUUUGACGUUACCAACAGAAUAAGCACCGGCUAACUUCGUG